rnacentral:rRNA from 1 species
AGCGAACGCUGGCGGCAGGCCUAACACAUGCAAGUCGAACGAAGUCUUCGGACUUAGUGGCGGACGGGUGAGUAACACGUGGGAACGUGCCCUUUGGUACGGAAUAACUCAGGGAAACUUGAGCUAAUACCGUAUGUGCCCUUCGGGGGAAAGAUUUAUCGCCUUUAGAGCGGCCCGCGUCUGAUUAGCUAGUUGGUGAGGUAAAGGCUCACCAAGGCUACGAUCAGUAGCUGGUCUGAGAGGAUGACCAGCCACAUUGGGACUGAGACACGGCCCAAACUCCUACGGGAGGCAGCAGUGGGGAAUCUUGCGCAAUGGGCGAAAGCCUGACGCAGCCAUGCCGCGUGGAUGAUGAAGGUCUUAGGAUUGUAAAAUCCUUUCACCGGUGAAGAUAAUGACUGUAGCCGGAGAAGAAGCCCCGGCUAACUUCGUGCCAGCAGCCGCCGUAACAC